AUUGAACGCUGGCGGCAUGCCUUACACAUGCAAGUCGAACGGUAGAGGGGGGCAACCCCUUCGAGAGUGGCGAACGGGUGAGUAAUGCAUCGGAACGUGUCAAGUCGUGGGGGAUAGCCCGGGGAAACCCGGAUUAAUACAGCAUACGACCUGAGGGUGUAAGCGGGGGACUCGCAAGGGCCUCGCGCGCUUGGAGCGGCCGAUGUCGGAUUAGGUAGUUGGUGGGGUAAAGGCAUACCAAGCCUGCGAUCCGUAGCUGGUCUGAGAGGACGACCAGCCACACUGGGACUGAGACACGGCCCAGACUCCUACGGGAGGCAGCAGUGGGGAAUUUUGGACAAUGGGGGCAACCCUGAUCCAGCCAUGCCGCGUGCGGGAAGAAGGCCUUCGGGUUGUAAACCGCUUUUGUCAGGGAAGAAAUGUCCUGGGCUAAUACCCUGGGGGGAUGACGGUACCUGAAGAAUAAGCACCGGCUAACUACGUGCCAGCAGCCGCAGUAA
rnacentral:rRNA from 1 species